GGAAGGUUGACUACAGGCCCCAAAAGUCUUAGGUCAAAUGAAAGAACACUUACAAGCACUUCUGUCUGUUGCCCCUUUGGUGGAAACAAACUGAGCCAAGUCUCCACUGCUGAUAAUCGAACAGCUUUGCCUGCUUGUUUUCCCACGGAAGGUCAGGAGCUGUGGUGGUGGAGGUGGGCAUUUGGGUUGAAGACUAAAAAACGAGUUAUGACCACAAAGGGCACUGUAGUCAGUAAAAUAAGACAAUUUUUCAAGUCAGUAGUGUAAUGCAACAGAUACCCACUUACCUUCUCUCGGUGGGUACACACGUAAGGAUACUCUUCCUCUGCCCCUCCUCCCCCCUCCCCCACCCCAGUUCAUCCCAUCAACCUACACGUGAAUUCAUUUUGCCCUUUGCAGAUAACAGACUCUUGAAGUUCCCGCUAUGAAAAAGAAUAUUUAGUGUUUGGGUGUAGAAAUAGAGAAUGCUAGAAUAUUUACUGCUUGUUUGGGUGUAGAGAUAGAGAAGGCUAGAAUAUUUAGUGCUUUGUUUGGGUGUAGGAAUCGAGAACGCUUUGGCUAAUGCUAAUGUGAAGCACUUGCAGCUGGGAUUUUCAUCUGGAACGCUAAGCUGCGUUACGUGGGGUCCUCCUAAGCUUAAGGCCUCUUGUUGGGAGCCCUGGUCAUUUCCUCGGUUUUCUCUGUACAAAGCCUUCCCUAGAGAGGAGGCAGGAGAGAAGUCACAAAACCGCACAGACUUCCCUCCCUGUCCCACCUACUUGCUCCACUGCAAGUCCCUUAGAUGCUGGGUCCAGAAGUCUUGAAGGCUUUUCACAACCGGAAAUGUCCUCCCCAUCCUAGCUCUGGGAUGUGCAGUGGAAAGGACUAGCAAUUAGGAGCCAGAUCUGCCUGAGUUCAAAUGCUGCCUCUUCUGAAGGUGGUCUUUGCCUGUGGGGCCUGCCAGAUGUUCUCAGCAAAGUUCACACCGAAAGCUUGGAUUCGGAGGCAGACACGUUUGCAAAAGGUGUCGAAAUGACACAGUCACCCAAACUGGGCCACGUGUCACCAUGCUCCUCCUAAUGGACUCAACCCCCAGGACUUCUAACAGCUUCCAAAACAUACCGUCCCUGCACGCCAGGAAGGGAGCAUACAGAAGAGCGUGUUUCUAUUGGCAACCCCAACUUACAAGAGGUGCUCAGAGACCACUGUUGAUUCGCCACCAGCUUCUCAGGCACAGGAUUCUCUUAGGAAGCCGCAUGGAGAGUAGUCUAAAGAAGGUAAGGGCAGGAUGUGGAAGGUGGGAGACCACUGAGGAGGGGACCGCAAUAGUCUAGGGGAGAGAUAAUGGUGGCCUAGACAGGUAGUGGCCAGGGGUGCGGUGAGCAGUGAUUCCAGAAUAUUCUGAAGAUAGAGCUCACAGGAUGUGCUGAUACACAGGAUAUGGGGUGUGAUAAAAUACAAGGAAAAAAAAAAAGAUGACACCAAUAGGGUUUUCAGCCCAAGUGAAUGGAACAAUGGAGCUGCUAUUAAGAAAGGGAAACCUAUAGGAGGGGCUGGCCCAGGGCAGAUCAGGAGCUGGGUUUUGGCCAUAGAGAGUUUGAGAUGCCCAUUAGACAUCCAUGUGUUGUCAAGUAGGCUUUGGAGACAUGAGUCUGUGGUUCACAGUAGAGGUUCUGGCUAGAGAUACAGAUUUGGACUCAUGCUUUUUCUUGUUUUUCUUCCUCCUCCUCCUCUUCCUCCUCCU